AUAUGGACAGUACUAACUCCCGAAUUUCCUGUUACAGGUAGUGGAUUCGAGAGGCACACCAACACCAGCAGAUGAGUCUCCGUUUAAUACUUGGGAUAUUAUAACAGUAAGUUAUAGCUCCAGAAGUCAGUCACCAGCAGCAGAUGUCACACAGUUAUAAAAUGGGAAACUUGUAGAAUAAGCUCCAGAAGUCAGCAGCAGCAG